rnacentral:rRNA from 1 species
ACAUACGACCACAGCCGCUAGCAGAACUCAGGAUCCCGUCUGAUCUCCCACGAGAAUCUAGCGAGCGCCGGAUUAGUAGUUGGGUCGGUGACGACCAGCGAAUACCUGGUGUUGUAUGUU